AUUGCCUGUUGAUAUUUUAAAACAAUUUCCAUUUGACUAUCUGCAUCAACUGUGUCUGGGUGUUAUGGGUAAAUUGAUUAUGGUUUGGAUGAGGGGAAAUCACGCUGUUAAAAUGUCUGUUGCCCAAUGUUAGAAAAAAUUGGUGGAGCUUAGACCAUUUAUCCCCUCUACGUUUGUGCGAAAACCUGGGAGUUUAAUGAAGGUCGACAGAUUGAAAGCUACAGAAUUCAGACAGUUUCUUUUGUAUACAGGCAAAAUUUCUUUCAGUCGUCAAUGAAAUCUUAUCAACAAUUUCUAGAAAUUUGCCGGUGUACAGCGAGCUGAUCUCCUUUUGCAGAAAAAGAUUUAUAUGACGGUGAACUAGCACCAGAAAUCCAAAACACAAAGGAUCAUGCAAUAACUUCCCCAUCUACUAGUAGCACACCAUCUCAGCGUAGUGAUACAAUCAACGUCUCUUCACAAGGAAUUCCUACAACUGGCACAACAAGAGAAAGACAAUCUCAACGAAACAGUGGUGUCUUAGGCAAGCUUUUCUUACAAUUCAUUAUUGCAUGUCUUGUUGUUACGUUUUCAUUUACGUUCAUUUCGUGUCGUUUGAAAUGUUUUUUUUCUUCACAACUAACUGCAACACGUGAUUGCUUUGCAGAUGCGCAUGACCUUUCAUCGCACGAAACGCCUUCGACAAGUUUUAUGAACAUAACACCUGCAGGAAGACGUUCUCAACCAAACAUUAAUGGCUUCCAAAGAUCAGUUCUCAUCAAACUGGAAACAUUAAUUGAUAAGCAAGAAGAAGCGUUGUCAUUAUUGCGUGCUCUGUUAAGCGCUACGAAAGGUGUAGACGAGCACGAAAUUUUGGAAGAU